rnacentral:rRNA from 1 species
UACAGAGGUCUCAAGCGUUGUUCGGAUUCAUUGGGCGUAAAGGGCGCGUAGGCGGCGGGGUAAGUCUGGUGUGAAAUCUAGGAGCUCAACUCCUAAACUGCACUGGAUACUGCUCUGCUAGAGGACUGGAGAGGAGACUGGAAUUCACGGUGUAGCAGUGAAACGCGUAGAUAUCGUGAGGAAGACCAGUGGCGAAGGCGGGUCUCUGGACAGUUCCUGACGCUGAGGCGCGAAGGCCAGGGGAGCAAACGGG